AGAAAAAUCAUCUGAAAAGUUGGAUUAAAGGGUGUUUGAAAUUUCCUAAUGUUUUGUCAACGGGGGACACAUAUUCGCCGUUUUUACACAUCUAAUUAAAACCAAAUAACUGCAGCUUUAAACAAUAUUUAUCAAAUAAAUUUCAUUAUAGAUGAAUAGCAGACAUUUGAAAGGUGUAAAAAAAAAACUGAAGUUUAGGGCAACCAGUCAAAGAAUUACUAAGAAAUACUUCUUUUAAAUCGUUUUUUUUUUCAUUCAGGAAAUUGGCUGAAAAUCGUUGUCCGUUUUUCGGUCCUUCGCGGUAAGUGCCGAAAUUUAGUCUCAUUUUCAAAAAUAAUCAUAUUUGUUAUAAAAAUAUAAUUUACCGGCAUAUUUCUUCCAUUUCGAACA
rnacentral:lncRNA from 1 species